CUAGGUGAUCGAGGGGAUUCAGUAUAGAAGUCAGACGAAUCUACAGGUGUAUAUAUUGUCUUUCGUAGGUUUGUUUCUUAUAAUAGUUAAUUUAUCAUAUAUGUAAUAUGUUAGCAAAAUGAUGAAGAUGAAGUUUUGAUGAUGCCCAAAUUAAGUCAAGAUUUAUCAAGAUUCAUGAAGAUCCUUUGAAGACUUAUUUUUGUUUUGAAAAGCUUUUGUAAUAAUUGUAGUUUAAUUGUUUAGGACUUAGAUUUGUAGUAGGUUUUGAUUCUUGUACCUUUAUAGUUUAUAUUUGUUGUUUAGAAUCAAAACUUCCCCGUUUUAAU
rnacentral:lncRNA from 1 species